rnacentral:rRNA from 1 species
CCUACGGGAGGCAGCAGUGGGGAAUAUUGGACAAUGGGCGAAAGCCUGAUCCAGCCAUGCCGCGUGUGUGAAGAAGGCCUUCGGGUUGUAAAGCACUUUCAGUGGGGAAGAAAGCCUUGGGGCUAAUACCCUCGAGGAAGGACAUCACCCACAGAAGAAGCACCGGCUAACUCCGUGCCAGCAGCCGCGGUAAUACGGAGGGUGCGAGCGUUAAUCGGAAUUACUGGGCGUAAAGCGCGCGUAGGCGGUCUGAUAAGCCGGUUGUGAAAGCCCCGGGCUCAACCUGGGAACGGCAUCCGGAACUGUCAGGCUAGAGUGCAGGAGAGGAAGGUAGAAGUCCCGGUGUAGCGGUGAAAUGCGUAGAGAUCGGGAGGAAUACCAGUGGCGAAGGCGGCCUUCUGGACUGACACUGACGCUGAGGUGCGAAAGCGUGGGUAGCAAACAGGAUUAGAUACCGGGUAGUC